rnacentral:rRNA from 1 species
GAUGAACGCUGGCGGCGUGCCUAAUACAUGCAAGUCGAGCGAACAGACGAGGAGCUUGCUCCUCUGACGUUAGCGGCGGACGGGUGAGUAACACGUGGAUAACCUACCUAUAAGACUGGGAUAACUUCGGGAAACCGGAGCUAAGACCGGAUAAUUAAUUCAAUCGCAUGGUUCAAUAGUGAAAGACGGUUUUGCUAUCACUUAUACAUUGAAACGCGCCGCAUUAUCUAGUUGGUAAGGUAACGGCUUACCAAGGCAACGAUGCGUAGCCGAACUGAGAGGGUGAUCGGCAACCCGGGAGCUGAGAUGCGGUCCAGACUCCUAAGGGAGGCAGGAGUAGGGAAUCUACCGCAAGGAGCGAAAGCCUGACGGGGCCACGCGACGGGAGUGAUGAAGGUCUUCGGAUCGUAAAUCUCUGUUAUUAGGGAAGAACAAAUGUGUAAGUAACGAUGCGCGACUGGACGGAACAUAAGCAGAAAGCCACGCUUAACUACGG